rnacentral:tRNA from 1 species
GGAGACGUGGCCGAGUGGCCGAAGGCAACGCCUUGCUAAGGCGUCGUACGGGUCAAACUGUACCGUGAGUUCGAAUCUCACCGUCUCCGCCA